CAUAUGUCGCCGGGAUGGGAAAUCUUCUUGCCACAGGUAAUUUCGACUAGCCCUUCUUGUAUUUCUAGUUUCUGGUUCAUCUUCAGAUCUUUGCGAUGCCACAUGGGCUUGAAUCGGGCGGUAGUGGAUGGCCUUGAAUCAGGCAGACGCGAUGACAGAGGGCUUGAAUGGGGCGACGGAAAAGCGACUGAUUCAUCCGAUUUGGAGGAGGGCGACACGGCAGUGGAGAGGUAAGAUCUCGCGGCAUGGUAUGUCAUCGGACUCCUCCUCCUUGGCAAACAUGCGACUGGAGGAGAUGGUGGCGCCGGUUGUCACCCGCGCCUCCCUCCCAUGCUUCCACUACCAGCCAAGAGGUGGGAAACCACCAUCAUGGUGGUUUUCCACCUCCUCGCCGGCCUCGUUCUCGUGGAGGCGGACGCAGCGGAGAUACCAUCUCAUGGAGUGUUGCGUCUUCCACACACUGCCGCAGUCCAGCUCGGACGAGGAGGACGAUGGACGCAGGCAUGGCAGAAGGCACCCACGAGAUUCCCGGAGGCCUAAGAGCCGCAGGAAGUGGGACUUGGUCUAAGAUGGAUGGGGCGAUGUUUCCUUCAAGAAAAGCUCACUGAUUGCUCCGAGGCGGCGGGGCAUCUGGGACCAACAGGUAGACGAUGAUGAUCUGAUGUAUUCUCUUUUCGAGAAUCAUCAGAGCAUAUCAUCAGAAGGAAGAAAAUAAAACCAAGAGAAAGUCUCUGCUCCUCUGGUUGCACUAGAUGUACACGCAUGUCAUUAACCGUGUUGUUCUUUUGAGCUGAGCACACACCGAGCUCCAAUGGCAGAGAAUGGAGAUCCUCGCCCCAAACUUGCCGCUAGUUUGCCUUGCCUCCCUGCGACGGCUCCGCCGCUCAGGCCGCCCGGAUGCGCCAUUCUGCCCACGGUCGCGUCUUUGCCACCCCCCGCCCCCGUGCAGAGGGGCAGCGUGCGGCCGUUCGUUUGGUCAAGGAGGUGACGAUAUUGUUCAGCGGUAAAAACGUUAAUCAAACUUUCGAAAAAAAAAUAUUAACAAUGCGGACGAGGUUGCGCCUAUAAGGUGGGCAAUUAUGGGUGGUCUGGCGAGGAGGCGGGCGUGUAUCAACGGGCGCGGCGUGCCGCCGCGCGGGCUCCGCUAGUAUUAGCUAGUAUACAACAGUCUAUCAAGUCGCAGUGCAGUGCGUGCUCUCGUUGACAGCUGGGCGAUAGUUGGGCCACUUGGAUCUUCCUCCCUGCCUCUGUUGAUCCUUUCCGUCCAUCUCGUGAAAGAGUCACCGCCAACCAGUAGUAUGUGAUGCACGGCGGAAAGAGGUCGUCGAGCAGUCACGCGCUGGAGGCUGGGAUGCGCGUCCCGCUGCUGACGUUCUCGCCAACUUCGGCAUCACUCCUACCCAGCUCGCAUCGAAUGGGUGGCGCAUCAUGGCGGGCUUCCUCGCCCUCUGCCAUUCCGACGGCAUGCCGCCGGACGGAACGCGGCAGGAGGAGGCUCUCCCGCGCGGGGACGGUGCGGCGUGGGCGGGAUAUGGUUGCUGGAGUGGUCGCUGGCAGUGGGGCUGCCCGACGGCGGCGAGAGGCGGCGGUGAGUUGUUGUUGAAAUUGGUAGAUCAAUUUUAUAGGGGAAAUAAUUUAUUUUUUGGUUUGCAAAAGAGUUAACUAGUGUUUUUUGGGUUUGGAAAAGAGUUAAUUAAUUGACAUAUGCAGGCGCGUGAUGCAUCAGUCCGUUUGGGCUGGUUAGAUAGACUUUCACCGAGUUCAGCCUUUCUUGGCCCAUAUCAAUGUGCGCUGGGAGAUAAGAAGGCACGGCACUCUGGUAGAGGUCCAGCUCCUAGCAGGCAGGCGGGGCGGCGACCACCACGGCGACCGGCGGCUACGCAGGUGCGUUCCUCCCCCCUUCCCCUCUCUUCCCCACCCCUUCUCCCGUCGCUCCCUAGCCUUCUUCCCCAUCUGUGCUCACAUGGAUCGGUCACCCUGUGCCACGCCCCUCUAGUCGGCGGUGGCUCAGGACCGGCACUCCCCGCCGUCCUACCCGCACGCGGUGCUCCGCCCUCCUUAGCCACGCGCCACCGCCUCACUUUGCUACGCCCUCCAUUCUCCACGAUGGCCAUAGGAGCUGCUGCUCCUUUUCUGCACAAACUACAGAUCCACCAUGGGUCCAUGGCCGUAGGAGCUGCUGCUCGUUUUGUGCAGCCACAACUGCUCCGCCAUGGGUCCAUGGUCAUAGCCUAGAUCUUCUUCUCAAACCACUCCAUAAUCCUAAAGAUCCCUCUGUUUUGCACUGUUUCUAAUUUUUUUUUCUUCACUUUUGUCUAUUGUGCAGAUUACGGAAGUUUUGUCGAUCUGCUGGCCGAUUCAAGGUAUGUGUCCAAAAUCCCCUCAAAUUUGCAUGUGGUGUCUUGUUGCCAUGUUUUACAUCUAGAUAAGUGAACUUUACAGCUCUGUCGAUCUGCUGGCCGAUUCAAGGUAUGUGUCCAAAAUCCCCUCAAAUUUGCUUGUGGUGUCUUGUUGCCAUGUUUUACAUCUAGAUAAGUGAACUUUACAGCUCAAUGUCGGAUCGGUUGUAGUUGGUUGAGUGGAUAACUGAAGAAAAUAAAAGAAGGAAGAGGAAAAAUAAUUGUUUCGACUAAAUUAUUUGCUGAAACAUGUGCUCUUGCAUUAGCUAGGUGACCAGGGGAUCUAUGCAGUUUUAUUGAUGAUGAGAACAAGCAUAAGCGUAAGAAAUAUUGUUUGGAACUAUCAUAUUUGAGUAUAUGUCUUGUUUGGAACUACCAUAUUUGAGUCUUUGUCUUGUUUGGAACUCUCAUACUUGAGUUUAUGUACCGUUUGGUACUAUCAUAUUUGAGUUUAUGUACCGUUUGGAACUAUCAUAUUUGUUGUAUCUAUGAAUAUUUGAGGCUCAAAUAUUGUUUGGAACUAUCAUAUUUGAGGCUGAAGCAUUGUUGUCCUCAGCGUUUUUCAACAUAUG
rnacentral:lncRNA from 1 species